CACCGAGUCCGCGGCUCCGGUUACCACCGGGGCCUGGUGCAAAAGGGA
rfam:Streptomyces sp. CB02488 scaffold16, whole genome shotgun sequence.